ACGUCUUUUGCCUCUUAUUCUUCCUCUGGCAACCUCCUUUUGUCUCUGUUACGCAAAGGUUUUCACAUCCACACGUGACGUAACUACACGGCGGAUCGCUUGGCUGACGCAGCAACCGACUCGCGAUCUUGUCAAAACUUCCGUCACGAUGCCAGCAAAAAAAUAGUUUGGUUUCCUUGCGUGUUUUUGACUCCUCCGAAUAUAGAUGGAAACUGACCCGCAUACGGAGGGAGAGAGUUUUGUACAGGCAUCCCGUGUGGCUAUUAUCUUCUUCCUCGCCUCACCCCACCCCACCUCUUUCCUCCCCUUGACCUCUCCUUUCCCCUUCCUCCUCUCCAAAAAGAAAAGGGUCUAAGAUCUUGGCAUCUCGAUUCUCAUGCCAUGGAUAUGGAUAUGGAUGGAGCCGUCUGGAUAGUUUCCGUAUGCCGACCUGAAAGAUAGCACAUCUUUUCUGCUUGGCUUCGACGCCUAUCGAAGCUNNNNNNNNNNCAUGGUUUCCGUAUGCCGACAUGAAAGAUAGCACAUCUUUUCUGCUUGGCUUCGACGCCUAUCGAAGCUCUGGCGGCCGAGACGGGCAAACUUCUCUUGUUG
rnacentral:lncRNA from 1 species